UUGACCUCAAAUCGGGUGAGACUACCCGCUGAACUUAAGCAUAUCAAUAACG
rnacentral:rRNA from 1 species